rnacentral:misc_RNA from 1 species
GUGAAUCAUCAAAUUUUUGAACGAAAAUUGCACUCUCUGGUAUUCCGGAGAGUAUGCCUGUUUGAGGGUAAGUUUAAAUAAAAAUCGGUGUGGUUGCUGCCUUUCGUGGUGAUGCAUUGGAUGUGGUUCGUCUUGCCUUCGGUUAAGUGAUCUAAAAUUUUGCAUGAUUUUUUGGAACGUAUUUAAAUGAUUUUAUGUACGUUUGUGAUAUCGAAUACUAGGUGAGGUCUGCCUCAUGAUAAGCGUC